UUUUUUUGUAGCAGGCGUUCAGUUUGAUAUUUUAAGCAUAUUCAAGUUACAUGAGAAAUUUAAUAAUUAGUUUUAUUUGCAAUACAUAAUGGCUGCUCCACACCAUCCACGUUCGCCUUUUACUCCCUGCUCCACAUCGAUUGCUACACAAACUGAUAGCUUCCCGGAUUUGUUCGAAAUGUUAUAUUGCGACGAUAAAAUGGGCUGGGAGACAACGUUCAACGGGGCUGCUGAAUAUAAACCCGCCAUUCCCCCAAAGAUUGAUAACCAUGUCAGGUGUCGAAGGAGUCCUGUUUUGGUCAAAGAUCCAUUGAAUCCCAUGAGAGCAGCAUCACGACUCGCACACAAAUCCCAAAUUUUACAGUACUAUCCAGUAAUUAUAGUUGUGGCUAUAGUCACCGUUGUCGUCAAUUGGAUUGCCGACGCAUUGUAAAUACUACACACACAAUUGUUGUUUCAUACGUUUAUUACACAUAAUUCACGUUUUCACUCUAUCAACUAAAUUUGUAGUUGUUUUUAGCUUUUGAUUUACAAAUAUUAUAAGUUUUAUGUAGCAGAGCAACUUUUUAUAAUAAUUAUGUUAAGUUUUAUGCAUUUUUUAUGCACCGAUGUUCAGCAAAGCAAACAAAUAAUCGAAUUUUCAAAGUAAAUGAAAAGAUUUUGCAGCGAAAUUCAAUUGGAACAUGAAACAUAGUAUUUAUAUAGGUUUGCUGAACACCGGUUCAUAAGAUAGUCAAGUCCAAAUACUAACGAUAAUAAACAUAAUAUUUAAAACUUGA